UACGGAGGGGGCUAGCGUUAUUCGGAAUUACUGGGCGUAAAGCGCACGUAGGCGGACUGGAAAGUUGGGGGUGAAAGCCCAGGGCUCAACCCUGGAACUGCCUUCAAAACUCCCAGUCUUGAGGUCGAGAGAGGUGAGUGGAAUUCCGAGUGUAGAGGUGAAAUUCGUAGAUAUUCGCAAGAACACCAGUGGCGAAGGCGGCUGACUGGUCCGGUUCUGACGCUGAGGCGCGAAAGCGUGGGGAGCAAACAGG
rnacentral:rRNA from 1 species